AUACGGAGGAUCCAAGCGUUAUCCGGAAUCAUUGGGUUUAAAGGGUCCGUAGGUGGAUAAUUUAGUCAGAGGUGAAAUCCUGCAGCUCAACUGUAGAAUUGCCUUUGAUACUGGUUAUCUUGAGUUAUUAUGAAGUAGUUAGAAUAUGUAGUGUAGCGGUGAAAUGCAUAGAUAUUACAUAGAAUACCAAUUGCGAAGGCAGAUUACUAAUAAUAUACUGACACUGAUGGACGAAAGCGUGGGGAGCGAACAGGAUUAGAUACCCUAGUAGUCC
rnacentral:rRNA from 1 species